rnacentral:rRNA from 1 species
UGAAAUGCUUAGAUAUCACGANGAACUCCGAUUGCGAAGGCAGCUUGCUGGACUGUAACUGACGNUGAGGCACGAAAGCGUNGGGGAUCAAACAGGAUUAGAUNCCNUGGUAGNCCACGCCGUAAACGAUGAAUGCUAGCUGUUAGCGAUAUACUGUUAGCGGCACAGAGAAAUCGUUAAGCAUUCCACCUGGGGAGUACGCCGGCAACGGUGAAACUCAAAGGAAUUGACGGGGGCCCGCACAAGCGGAGGAACAUGUGGUUUAAUUCGAUGAUACGCGAGGAACCUUACCUGGGCUUAAAUUGCAGUGGAAUAACGUGGAAACAUGUUAGCCUUCGGGCCGCUGUGAAGGUGCUGCAUGGUUGUCGUCAGCUCGUGCCGUGAGGUGUCGGCUUAAGUGCCAUAACGAGCGCAACCCUCAUCGAUAGUUACUAACAGGUUAAGCUGAGGACUCUAUCGAGACUGCCGACGUAAGUCGUGAGGAAGGUGGGGAUGACGUCAAAUCAGCACGGCCCUUACGUCCAGGGCUACACACGUGUUACAAUGGGGGGUACAAAGGGCAGCUACCUGGCGACAGGAUGCUAAUCUCAAAAACCUCUCUCAGUUCGGAUUGGAGUCUGCAACCCGACUCCAUGAAGCUGGAUUCGCUAGUAAUCGCGCAUCAGCCACGGCGCGGUGAAUACGUUCCCGGGCCUUGUACACACCGCCCGUCAAGCCAUGGGAGCCGGGGGGACCUGAAGUAUGCAACCGUAAGGAGCGUCCUAGGGUAAAACUGGUGACUGGGGCU